CAGUCGCCACGGGAAUACGUAGGUGGCAAGCGUUGUCCGGAAUUAUUGGGCGUAAAGGGCUCGCAGGCGGUUUCUUAAGUCCGAUGUGAAAGCCCCCGGCUCAACCGGGGAGGGUCAUUGGAAACUGGGAAACUUGAGUGCAGAAGAGGAGAGUGGAAUUCCACGUGUAGCGGUGAGAUGCGUAGAGAUGUGGAGGAACACCAGUGGCGAAGGCGACUCUCUGGUCUGUAACUGACGCUAAGGAGCGAAAGCGUGGGGAGCGAACAGGAUUAGAUACCCCAGUAGUCCCUGUCUCUUAUAC
rnacentral:rRNA from 1 species